rnacentral:rRNA from 1 species
CAGCAGCCGCGGGAAUACGUAGGGUGCAAGCGUUAAUCGGAAUUACUGGGCGUAAAGCGUGCGCAGGCGGUGUUGUAAGACUGAUGUGAAAUCCCCGGGCUCAACCUGGGAACUGCAUUGGUGACUGCAACGCUGGAGUGCGGCAGAGGGGGAUGGAAUUCCGCGUGUAGCAGUGAAAUGCGUAGAUAUGCGGAGGAACACCGAUGGCGAAGGCAAUCCCCUGGGCCUGCACUGACGCUCAUGCACGAAAGCGUGGGGAGCAAACAGGAUUAGAUACCCGGGUAGUCCCUGUCUCUUAUAA